AGUUUGAUUCUGGCUCAGAUUGAACGCUGGCGGGAUGCUUUACACAUGCAAGUCGAACGGCAGCACGGACUUCGGUCUGGUGGCGAGUGGCGAACGGGUGAGUAAUGUAUCGGAACGUGCCCUAGUAGCGGGGGAUAACUACGCGAAAGCAGCCUUCAUACCUCAUACGCCCUUCGGGGGAAAGCGGGGACCUUCGGGCCUCGCACUAUUGGAAGCGGCCGAUAUCGGAUUGGCUAGUUGGUGGGAGGUAACGGCUCGCAAGGCGACAGUCCGUAGCUGGUUUGAAGGACGACCAGCCACACUGGGACUGAGACACGGCCCAGACUCCUACAGGAGGCAGCAGUGGGGAAUUUUGGACAAUGGAAACCCUGAUCCAGCCAUCCCGCGUGUGCGAUGAAGGCCUUCGGGUUGUAAAGCACUUUUGGCGGAAAGAAACGGCACGGGAUAAUACCCGAUGCAACUGACGGCCUGCAGAAUAAGCACCGGCUAACUACGUGCCAGCGACCGCGGUGUACGUAAGUGCAAGCGUUAAUCGGAAUUACUGGGCGUAAAGCGUGCGCAGGCGGUUCGGAAAGAAGAUGUGAAAUCCGAGCUUAACUUUGGAACACCAUUUUUAACUACCGAGCUAGAGUGUGUCAGAGGGAGGUGGAAUUCCGCGUGUAGCAGUGAAAUGCGUAGAUAUGCGGAGGAACACCGAUGGCGAAGCAGCCUCCUGGGAUAACACUGACGCUCAUGCACGAAAGCGUGGGGAGCAAACAGGAUUAGAUACCCUGGUAGUCCACGCCCUAAACGAUGUCAACUAGCUGUUGAGGCCUUCGGGCCUUGGUAGCGCAACUAACGCGUGAAGUUGACCGCCUGGGAAUUACGGUCGCAAGAUUAAAACUCAAAGAAUUGACGGGGACCCGCACAAGCGGUGGAUCAGUGUGGAUUAAUUCGAUGCAACGCGAAAAACCUUACCUACACUUGACAUGUCUGGAAUCGAAGAGAUUUGGGAGUGCUCGCAAGAGAACCGGAACACAGGUGCUGCAUGGCUGUCUCGUCAGCUCCGUGUCGUGAGAUGUUGGGUUAAGUCCGCAACGGGCGCAACCCUUGUCAUUAGUUGCUACGAAGGGCACUCUAAUGAGACUGCCGGUGACAAACCGGAGGAAGGUGGGGAUGACGUCAAGUCCUCAUGGCCCUUAUGGGUAGGGCUACACGUCCUUGCAAUGGUCGAGACAGAGGGUCGCCAACCCGCGAGGGGGGGAGCCAAUCCCAGAAACCCGAUCGUAGUCCGGAUCGCAGUCUGCAACUCGACUGCGUGAAGUCGGAAUCGCUAGUAAUCGCGGAUCAGCAUGUCGCGAGGUGAAUACGUUCCCGGGUCUUGUACGCACCGCCCGUCACCAUGGGAGUGGGUUUACCAGAAGUAGUUAGCCUAACCGUAAGGAGGGCGAUUACCACAUUAGGAUUCAUGACUGGGGUGAAGUCGUAACUAAGGUAGCU
rnacentral:rRNA from 1 species